GUCCCUUUGGAGAUAUCCGAUAAAAUUCGAACGAUACGAAGAAGAUUAGCAUGGCCCCGCGCAAGGAUGACACGCACAAAUCGAAAAAUGGUCCAAAUUUUU